AUCGCCGCUGGACGGAACGGGUCGCGAGGGACGGGCUUCCCCGCUGGUGAUCUGGCCGAGAGCCACCAGGGUUGCAGGGACCCCUGAUGGGCUCGCUCCGGCGAGGGAG
ncrna:unclassified sequences Actinomyces-1 RNA